rnacentral:rRNA from 1 species
AACGAACGCUGGCGGCAUGCCUAACACAUGCAAGUCGAACGAGCCCUUCGGGUCUAGUGGCGCACGGGUGCGUAACGCGUGGGAACCUGCCCUUAGGUUCGGAAUAACUCCCCGAAAGGGGUGCUAAUACCGGAUAAUGUCUUCGGACCAAAGAUUUAUCGCCUUUGGAUGGGCCCGCGUUGGAUUAGCUAGUUGGUAGGGUAAAAGCCUACCAAGGCGACGAUCCAUAGCUGGGCUGAGAGGAUGAUCAGCCACACUGGGACUGAGACACGGCCCAGACUCCUACGGGAGGCAGCAGUGGGGAAUAUUGGACAAUGGGCGAAAGCCUGAUCCAGCAAUGCCGCGUGAGUGAUGAAGGCCUUAGGGUUGUAAAGCUCUUUUACCCGGGAUGAUAAUGACAGUACCGGGAGAAUAAGCUCCGGCUAACUCCGUG